CUCUUUCGGAGCAACGUUGGAAGGAGCUGGUGACGGAGUGCUCUCAGAAGGCUGUUUGUGCUUAGUGUAUACAGUUGUCUGCAGUCAGUCCAUCAUUACGAAAUGAUUAUUUCAGCAAACAAUACAAUGGCACAUAUUCUUUUCUCCCGUUCUCCAUAUCCUGGGUUUCAUUUUCAACAGCGUGUGGCUGGA